rnacentral:piRNA from 1 species
UCAGGAUAUCCUUAAAGCUGAAGUCAAUGC